rnacentral:lncRNA from 1 species
AAGCUGAGACACACUUACCUGGCCUCGAGGGACUGCUUGUAGUUAGGCUCUCCGUUGCUGAUCGCGCCCCCUGGUGGAAAGGUCUGGAAUACAGCAUUCCCAACUGAAAGGCUUCGCGUGGUUUGGUUUGAACGUGAUUCACUCAAGGAUGUCAUCUUCCUGCUGAUUUGUAUGCCUGGUAGUUUUUCACUGGAUGCUCUACAUGAGAUCAAAAUAUGCCACUCCAAAACAUGCCACUUUGGCAUACAAUUAUUUCAGAUUCAACAGAUGCAGAAAGAAGCCAUCUCAGAGCUUCCCUUAUCUCAUGAGAAGCAGAAACUUCUGAGAAAUGAGGACUGCUGUAAAUCUCCUCUUCUAGGGAAGUUUUAUGGCCACAGAGAAGAUGAAGUUGGCGCCAAGAUGGAUCUGCACAAACAAACCUUACUCCAUUAAUUUCCCUCAUAUAUUUACUUUCCCAUGGUUUACUGCCUUUGGGAGCCUAAGAUUUUUUUUUUUUCCUUUGACUUGUCACUUCUCUACGAAUUUAUUGUUCUUUGUUAAGAUGCAUAAACCCACAUUCUAACCACCUCUUUGAGUUUUUCAUCAUAUCACUGAGUUUCUCCUGGGUACACGCCCACUGUACAUGCUAAUAAACUAUUUGU